rnacentral:rRNA from 1 species
GAUGAACGCUGGCGGCGUGCCUAAUACAUGCCAGUAGAACGCUGAAGGAGGAGCUUGCUCUUCUGGAUGAGUUGCGAACGGGUGAGUAACGCGUAGGUAACCUGCCUGGUAGCGGGGGAUAACUAUUGGAAACGAUAGCUAAUACCGCAUGACAACAGUUAUUGCAUGAUAACUGUUUAAAAGUGGCACCUGCUCCACUACCAGAUGGACCUGCGUUGUAUUAGCUAGUUGGUGAGGUAACGGCUCACCAAGGCGACGAUACAGAGCCGACCUGAGAGGGUGAUCGGCCAAACUGGGACUUGGACACGGCCCAGAAUCCUAAGGGGGGCAGCAGGAGGGAAACAUCGGCAAUGGACGGAAGUCUGACUGAGGAAAGCCGCGUGAGGGAAGAAGGUUUUCGGAUCGUAAAGCUCUGUUGUAAGGGAAGAAAGAGCGGGAGAGUGGAAAGUUCACGCUGUGACGGUAUCUUAACAGAAAGCGACGGCUAACUACGUG